GCUGGGUGUGGUGGUGUGCACCUGUAGUCCAAGUUACUCAGGAGGCUGAGGCAGGAGAAUUGCUUGAACUCAGGAGGCAGAGGUUGCAGUGAGCCGAGAUUGUGCCACUGCACUCCAACCUGGGUGACAGAGCAAGAUUCCGUCUCAA
rnacentral:sRNA from 1 species